CCUACGGGAGGCAGCAGUGAGGAAUAUUGGUCAAUGGCCGGAAGGCUGAACCAGCCAUGCCGCGUGAAGGUCAGUGCCCUAUGGGCGUUAAACUUCUUUUGUGCGGGAGCAAUAAUGGUCACGUGUGGCCAGACGAUAGUACCGUACGAAUAAGCAUCGGCUAACUCCGUGCCAGCCGCCGCGGUAAUACGGGGGAUGCAAGCGUUAUCCGGAUUUAUUGGGUUUAAAGGGUGCGUAGGCUGUGAGGUAAGUCAGCGGUGAAAUGCCGCCGCUCAACGGGGUGAAGUGCCAUUGAUACUGCCUUGCUGGAAUGCGGAUGCCGUGGGAGGAAUGUGUGGUGUAGCGGUGAAAUGCAUAGAUAUCACACAGAACACCGAUUGCGAAGGCAUCUCACGAAUCCGCGAUUGACGCUGAUGCACGAAAGCGUGGGUAUCAAACAGGAUUAGAUACCCUGGUAGUC
rnacentral:rRNA from 1 species